rnacentral:rRNA from 1 species
GGUUGAGUGGCGGACGGGUGAGUAACGCGUGAGAAUCUGCCUUGGGGUCGGGGACAACCGCUGGAAACGGUGGCGGAUACCGGAUAAGCCUUUGGGUAAAAGAUUUAUUGCCCCAAGAGGAGCUCGCGUCUGAUUAGCUAGUUGGUGAGGUAAAAGCUCACCAAGGCAGCGAUCAGUAGCUGGUCUGAGAGGACGAUCAGCCACACUGGGACUGAGACACGGCCCAGACUCCUACGGGAGGCAGCAGUGGGGAAUUUUCCGCGAUGGGCGAAAGCCUGACGGAGCAAGACCGCGUGAGGGAGGAAGGCUCUUGGGUUGUAAACCUCUUUUCUCAGGGAAGAAGCUCUGACGGUACCUGAGGAAUCAGCCUCGGCUAACUCCGUGCCAGCAGCCGCGGUAAUACGGAGGAGGCAAGCGUUAUCCGGAAUUAUUGGGCGUAAAGCGUCCGCAGGUGGCGAUUCAAGUCUGCUGUCAAAGCACGGGGCUUAACUCCGUUAAGGCAGUGGAAACUGAAUAGCUAGAGUGCCGUAGGGGUAGAGGGAAUUCCCGGUGUAGCGGUGAAAUGCGUAGAGAUCGGGAAGAACAUCGGUGGCGAAAGCGCUCUACUGGACG